CUACGGGGGGCUGCAGUGGGGAAUAUUGCACAAUGGGCGCAAGCCUGAUGCAGCCAUGCCGCGUGUGUGAAGAAGGCCUUCGGGUUGUAAAGCACUUUCAGCGGGGAGGAAGGCGGUGAGGUUAAUAACCUCAUCGAUUGACGUUACCCGCAAAAGAAGCACCGGCUAACUCCGUGCCAGCAGCCGCGGUAAUACGGAGGGUGCAAGCGUUAAUCGGAAUUACUGGGCGUAAAGCGCACGCAGGCGGUCUGUCAAGUCGGAUGUGAAAUCCCCGGGCUCAACCUGGGAACUGCAUUCGAAACUGGCAGGCUAGAGUCUUGUAGAGGGGGGUAGAAUUCCAGGUGUAGCGGUGAAAUGCGUAGAGAUCUGGAGGAAUACCGGUGGCGAAGGCGGCCCCCUGGACAAAGACUGACGCUCAGGUGCGAAAGCGUGGGGAGCAAACAGGAUUAGAUACCCCGGUAGUC
rnacentral:rRNA from 1 species